UAGUAAAUUGUUAUUAGUGGC
ensembl:piRNA 21ur-1420 ncRNA